AUAGAAGUGGCGCAGCUGGCAGCGCACAUGGCAGCUAACCAUGAUGUCGCGGGUUCAAAUCCUGCCUUCAAAA
rnacentral:tRNA from 2 species